rnacentral:piRNA from 1 species
UGCCCCACCUGCCUCUGGAAAUGUUGCUGU